rnacentral:rRNA from 1 species
CGAGUGAAGCGGCAACAGCUCAAAUUUGAAAUCUGGCUCCCCCCCGCGGGGGCCCGAGUUGUAAUUUGCAGAAGGUGCUUCGGGCGCGACGGCGGUCCAAGUUCCUUGGAAUCGGACGUCGAAGAGGGUGAGAAUCCCGUAUUUGGCCGAUCGUCAAGCCCACUGCGAAGCCCUUUCGACGAGUCGAGUUGUUUGGGAAUGCAGCUCCAAGCGGGUGGUAAAUUUCAUCUAAAGCUAAAUACCUGCCAGAGACCGAUAGCGCACAAGUAGAGUGAUCGAAAGAUGAAAAGCACUUUGAAAAGAGAGUCAAACAGCACGUGAAAUUGUUGAAGGGGAAGCGCUUGCAACCAGACUCGCACGCGGGGGCUCAGCCGUUCCUCGGGACGGUGCACUCCCCCGCGAUCGGGCCAGCGUCGGUUUCGGCGGUCGGACAAAGGCCCGGGGAACGUAGCUCCCUCGCGGGAGUGUUACAGCCCCGGGUGCAGUGCGGCCCGCCGGGACCGAGGACCGCGCAUUUUUUUGCUAGGACGCUGGGGUAAUGGUUGCCAACCACCCCUCUUGAAACGCGGACCCUGGACUCGAACGGCGACGCGAGUGUUCGGGCGUCAAACCCGGGCGCGCAAUGAAAGUGAACGGAGGUGGGGAGCCCCCCUUCCCUGGGGGCGCACCAACGAUUUUUCUUGAUGUCUUCUUCUAGCCCUUAUUCU